rnacentral:rRNA from 1 species
GUGACCUCGGAUCAGGUAGGGAUACCCGCGAACUACCCUCUUUUCUUUUCCUUGGGAUUAUGGGGGGGGGGCG